CAGCAGCCACGGUAAUACAGAGGGUGCGAGCGUUAAUCGGAUUUACUGGGCGUAAAGCGUGCGUAGGCGGCUUUUUAAGUCGGAUGUGAAAUCCCUGAGCUUAACUUAGGAAUUGCAUUCGAUACUUGGAAGCUAGAGUAUGGGAGAGGAUGGUAGAAUUCCAGGUGUAGCGGUGAAAUGCGUAGAGAUCUGGAGGAAUACCGAUGGCGAAGGCAGCCAUCUGGCCUAAUACUGACGCUGAGGUACGAAAGCAUGGGGAGCAAACAGGAUUAGAUACCCCAGUAGUCCCUGUCUCUUAUAC
rnacentral:rRNA from 1 species